AACAGCUUCGUCACUGACAGUCAACUCCACUUCCCUGGGACCCUGAAAUCUGCUGCAAAACUUGUAUCAUUUUACUUCACUGUCUCCACUGGGGCUUGAAGCAUUUUAAGGUAUGAUGUGACUUGCUCCUCCUUGCCUUCCACCAUGAUUGUGAGGCUUCAACAGCAACGUGGAACUGCUCAUAGGCGGAAGGGACUUGCCUUGUCUCGGAUUACACAUUGGACUGUGGACUUUUGAGUUAACGCUGAGAAGAGUUAAGACUUUGAGGGACUGUUGUGAAGGCAUGAUUGGUUUUGAAAUGUAAGUACAUGUGAUUUGGGAGGGGUUGGGGCAGAGUGAUAUGGUUUGGCUGUGACCCCACCCAAAUCUCAUC
rnacentral:lncRNA from 1 species